rnacentral:tRNA from 1 species
AAGGGAGAACAGAAAAUAGCAAGCACUGCUAAUCCUUGCCCUCCAUGGUUAAAAUCCAUGGCUUCCUUGC